rnacentral:rRNA from 1 species
UACGAAGGGGGGCUAGCGUUGCUCGGAAUUACUGGGCGUAAAGCGCACGUAGGCGGAUUUGUAAGUCAGGGGUGAAAUCCCGGGGCUCAACCUCGGAACUGCCUUUGAUACUGCAAAUCUCGAGUCCGGAAGAGGUGAGUGGAAUUCCUAGUGUAGAGGUGAAAUUCGUAGAUAUUAGGAAGAACACCAGUGGCGAAGGCGGCUCACUGGUCCGGUACUGACGCUGAGGUGCGAAAGCGUGGGGAGCAAACAGG